AUUGAACGCUGGCGGCAGGCCUAACACAUGCAAGUCGAGCGCGCGGCGGGCACGGGUGUAUAGUAUGGGGAGCUGUCCGCGAGAGGGGGAUAAAUACUGGAAACGCUAGGUCAUAUCCCAUACUAUCGGAUGUACCCCUAUGGGAUUAGCUAGUAGGGGGGGUAAUGGCUCACCUAGGCGACGAUCCCUAGCUGGUCUGAGAGGAUGAUCAGCCACACUGGGACUGAGACACGGCCCAGACUCCUACGGGAGGCAGCAGUGGGGAAUAUUGCACAAUGGGCGCAAGCCUGAUGCAGCCAUGCCGCGUGUAUGAAGAAGGCCCUAGGGUUGUAAAGUACUUUUGGCAGAGAAGCGGUAUCUGCAGAAUAAGCACCGGCUAACUACGUGCCAGCAGCCGCGGUAAUAC
rnacentral:rRNA from 1 species